rnacentral:tRNA from 1 species
CUGUCGGCGGACCGGUUCGUGGCGAAUCCGUAUGUGGCGGGUGGGCGGAUGUACCGCACGGGGGAUCUGGUGCGUCGCCGCACCGACGGU